rnacentral:rRNA from 1 species
GAGCGGUCUUUGGUGAUCAUAGUAACUUUUCGAAUCGCAUGACUUUACGUCGGCGAUGGUUCAUUCAAAUUUCUGCCCUAUCAAGUUUCGAUGGUAGGAUAGAGGCCUACCAUGCUUUUUACGGGUAACGGCGAAUUAGGGUUCGAUUCCGGAGAGGGAGCCUGAGAAACGGCUACCACAUCUAAGGAAGGCAGCAGGCGCGCAAAUUACCCAAUCCUGAUUCAGGGAGGUAGUGACAAUAAAUAACAAUCCAGGACUUCGGUCUUGGAAUUGGAAUGAGAACAAUUUAAAUCUCUUAUCGAGGAACAAUUGGAGGGCAAGUCUGGUGCCAGCAGCCGCGGUAAUUCCAGCUCCAAUAGCGUAUAUUAAAGUUGUUGCAGUUAAAUAGCUCGUAGUUGAAUCUUGGGGCUGGUUUGGCGGUCGCGUCUUUGACGUGUACUGUCGGCCGGUUCUUUUACUUGUGGGGAACGUAUGUGCCCUUUGCGGGGUGUGUACGGGAACCAUGGCUGUUACUUUGAAAAAAUUAGAGUGUUUAAAGCGGGCGUAAGCUUGUAUACAUUAGCAUGGAAUAAUAGAAUAGGACUU